UACGUAGGGGGCAAGCGUUUGUCCGGAUUUACUGGGCGUAAAGAGCGUGUAGGCGGCCAAACAGGUCCGUUGUGAAAACUGGAGGCUCAACCUCCAGACGUCGACGGAAACCGUGUGGCUAGAGUCCGGGAAGAGGAGAGUGGAAUUCCUGGUGUAGCGGUGAAAUGCGCAGAUAUCAGGAAGAACACCCGUGGCGAAGGCGGCUCUCUGGGACGGUACUGACGCUGAGAGCGAAAGCCGUGGGGAG
rnacentral:rRNA from 1 species